rnacentral:rRNA from 1 species
UACGAAGGGGGCUAGCGUUGCUCGGAAUUACUGGGCGUAAAGGGCGCGUAGGCGGAUACUUAAGUCGGGGGUGAAAGCCCGGGGCUCAACCUCGGAAUUGCCUUCGAUACUGGGUAUCUUGAGUUCGGGGAGAGGUGAGUGGAAUGCCGAGUGUAGAGGUGAAAUUCGUAGAUAUUCGGCGGAACACCUGUGGCGAAAGCGGUCUGCUGGGGCAGUUGCUGACGCUGAUGCGCGACAGCGUGGGGAGCAAACAGGAGUUAGAUA